rnacentral:rRNA from 1 species
CACGGGGGGAGCAAGCGUUGUUCGGAAUCACUGGGCGUAAAGGGCGUGUAGGCGGUCAAGUAAGUGGAAUGUGAAAGCCCCCGGCUUACCCGGGGAUCUGCAUCCCAAACUGCUUGGCUUGAGUACGGGAGAGGAUAGGGGAAUUCCUGGUGUAGCGGUGAAAUUCGUAGAUAUCGGGAGGAACACCUGUGGCGAAGGCGGCCCCCUGGUUGGAUACUGACGCUGAUACGCGAAAGCGUGGGGAGCAAACAGG